rnacentral:tRNA from 2 species
UCCUCGGUAGCUCAGUGGUAGAGCAAUCGGCUGUUAACCGGUUGGCCGUAGGUUCGAAUCCUACCCGGGGAGCCA